rnacentral:rRNA from 1 species
AUUGAACGCUGGCGGCAUGCCUUACACAUGCAAGUCGAACGGUAACGCGGGGCGACCUCGCGACGAGUGGCGAACGGGUGAGUAAUGUAUCGGAACGUGCCCAGUUGUGGGGGAAAGCUGCUCGGAAGAGCAGCUAAUACCGCAUGCGACCUGAGGGUGAAAGGGGGGGAUCGCAAGACCCCGCGCACUUGGAGGGGCCGAUAUCAGGUUAGGUAGUUGGUGGGGUAAAGGCUCACCAAGCCAACGAUCUGUAGCUGGUCUGAGAGGACGACCAGCCACACUGGGACUGAGACACGGCCCAGACUCCUACGGGAGGCAGCAGUGGGGAAUUUUGGACAAUGGACGCAAGUCUGAUCCAGCCAUGCCGCGUGCGGGAAGAAGGCCUUCGGGUUGUAAACCGCUUUUGUCAGGGAAGAAACGCUCUGGGUUAAUACCUCGGGGUAAUGACGGUACCUGAAGAAUAAGCACCGGCUAACUACGUGCCAGCAGCCGCCGUAAAAC